AGUCGAGCGCCCCGCAAGGGGAGCGGCAGACGGGUGAGUAACGCGUGGGAAUCUACCGAGCCCUAAGGAAUAGCUCCGGGAAACUGGAAUUAAUACCUUAUACGCCCUUCGGGGGAAAGAUUUAUCGGGGUUUGAUGAGCCCGCGUUGGAUUAGCUAGUUGGUGGGGUAAAGGCCUACCAAGGCGACGAUCCGUAGCUGGUCUGAGAGGACGACCAGCCACACUGGAACUGAGACACGGUCCAGACUCCUACGGGAGGCAGCAGCGGGGAAUUUUGGACAAUGGGGGCAACCCUGAUCCAGCCAUGCCGCGUGAGUGAAGAAGGCCUUCGGGUUGUAAAGCUCUUUCAGCCGGGAAGAAAACGCAUGGGUUAAUACCCUGUGUGGAUGACGGUACCGGAAUAAGAAGCACCGGCUAACUACGUGCCAGCAGCCGCGGUAAU
rnacentral:rRNA from 1 species